CAGGUCCAUACAGCACUAAGUCAUUGGCGAACUAAAGUUUCUCUGAGAAGUUUUGAAAUCUUUACUGUUGGCAGACUGCGAACUGAGAUAUAUUCUCUUCACAAAAUGGAUUUCCGUCUGAAUGUUUGUCUGUUUUUGAUACUUUUCGUGGCAUUUUCUGACGUUGAUGGCCGUCAAUUUGUAGAAGAUAAAGCGGAUCAAUAUCCUUGUGAUGACUUCGGUGGUUAUUGUACCGAUCGAGGUAACCUUUGUGACCCAGGCUAUAUUGGGUGUGGCAUACUUUGUCCAGGCUUUCUACAACUUUGCUGUUGCCUGGAUUAAAAUGGAAAAUAAAACUGGAAUGGUGUAACUAAGAAGUUAUUGUGCAUC